GACGGGGGGGGCAAGUGUUCUUCGGAAUGACUGGGCGUAAAGGGCUCGUAGGCGGCCAACUAAGUCAGACGUGAAAUCCCUCAGCUUAACUGGGGAACUGCGUCCGAUACUGGAUGGCUUGAGUUUGGGAGAGGGAUGCGGAAUUCCAGGUGUAGCGGUGAAAUGCGUAGAUAUCUGGAGGAACACCGGUGGCGAAGGCGGCAUCCUGGACCGGUAUUGACGCUGAGGCGCGAAAGCUAGGGGAGCAAACGGG
rnacentral:rRNA from 1 species